ensembl:lncRNA
CAAUGACUGAGCAAAUGCCUGCAGGCUUUGUCUCCUGACUAAGAGAGGGGAGUUUCUGAUAUGGACUUUCUAGCCUUUGCCCAGCAAAGAGCUGCAGAGCACAGCGCAGACAUUGAGGUGAAUGAGCUCUGGUGGAUGAAAGCUCUGCUGGAAGCAAGCUGCCUUGAACAGUGAUUACUACAAUGAUCCAUCUCAGCACAUCCUUCUAAUUUGUGCUAUCAGGAUUUUCUCCAUUAUCGUGGGCAUCCGAGCUCUACAUUCCAGCUGUGUAACGGCGACUGAAAAACACGUGCGUGUAACAAGGACGGAGCCAGGCAGGC